GAGAAUGUAGUGAGAGAAUUUAGAGAGAAGGAGGAGUAGUUGAGAGAACUCUCUAGAAGAGAGAGAAUUUUAUUAAUCAGAAAAUGAGAGCAGAAAUGAAAUCCGUCUCAAAAUAUCUGCCCUCCUAUGUGAUAUACACUUGCACUACUGGGUCGGUUUGGGUGAGCCGGCCCAGAACUAAAUAACUAUUGUUGGGCUCAGAUACACAUACACAGUCCAAUCAUCAUAGCCCAGCAUAAAGUAUACCAUGAGUAUACAGUAAACAUACAAUGUGUAUAUAAUGAAUAUACAAGUAUACAGUAAAUAUACAAGUCUAUGUCACGUAUAUUCUCUCAUCUCAACACCCCCCCUCAAGUUGGAGGGGGAGACCACCUGCAACUUGAGCAACAAGGGAUGAAGCACAGU
rnacentral:lncRNA from 1 species